rnacentral:rRNA from 1 species
AUUGAACGCUGGCGGUAGGCCUAACACAUGCAAGUCGAACGCGAAAGUCCUUCGGGAUGAGUAGAGUGGCGGACGGGUGAGUAACGCGUAGGAAUCUAUCCUGUAGUGGGGGAUAACGUUUCGAAAGGAACGCUAAUACCGCAUACGCCCCAAGGGGGAAAGCGGGGGAUCUUCGGACCUCGUGCUAUAGGAGGAGCCUGCGUCGGAUUAGCUAGUUGGUGAGGUAAAGGCUCACCAAGGCGACGAUCCGUAGCUGGUCUGAGAGGAUGAUCAGCCACACCGGAACUGAGACACGGUCCGGACUCCUACGGGAGGCAGCAGUGGGGAAUAUUGCGCAAUGGGCGAAAGCCUGACGCAGCCAUACCGCGUGUGUGAAGAAGGCCUUGGUUGU